CUACAUGAAGCUGGAAUUGCUAGUAAUCACAGGUCAGCAUACUGUGGUGAAUACGUUCCCGGGCCUUGUACACACCGCCCGUCACACCAUGAGAGUUGAGAAUACCCGAAGCCCAUGUCAAAGUGGUCGAAGGUAGGCUUGAUGAUUGGGGUGAAGUCGUAACAAGGUACC
rnacentral:rRNA from 1 species